UAGUGUGUUUUGAGCUUGGAAUUCUUCAGCGGUAGGGUGUUUUGAGUUUGGAAUUCUUCAGGGGUAAAGGAUUUUGAGUUUGGAAUUCUUCAGGGGUAGGGUGUUUUGAGUUUGGAAUUCUUCAGGGGUAGGGUGUUUUGAGUUUGGAAUUCUUCAGGGGUAGAGUGUUUUGAGCUUGGAAUUCUUCAGGGGUAAAGGAUUUUGAGCUUGGAAUUCUUCAGGGGUAAAGGAUUUUGAGCUUGGAAUUCUUCAGGGGUAAAGGAUUUUGAGCUUGGAAUUCUUCAGGGGUAAAGGAUUUUGAGCUUGGAAUUCUUCAGGGGUAAAGUGUUUUGAGUUUGGAAUUCUUCAGGGGUAACGUGUUUCGAGUUUGGAAUUCUUCAGGGGUAAAGUGUUUUGAGUUUGGAAUUCUUCAGGGGUAAAGGAUUUUGAGCUUGGAAUUCUUCAGGGGUAAAGUGUUUUGAGUUUGGAAUUCUUCAGGGGUAGAGUGUUUUGAGUUUGGAAUUCUUCAUGGGUAGAGUGUUUUGAGUUUGGAAUUCUUCAGGGGUAAAGGAUUUUGAGCUUGGAAUUCUUCAGGGGUAAAGUGUUUUGAGUUUGGAAUUCUUCAGGGGUAGGGUGUUUUGAGUUUGGAAUUCUUCAGGGGUAGAUUGUUUUGAGCUUGGAAUUCUUCAGGGGUAAAGGAUUUUGAGUUUGGAAUUCUUCAGGGGUACAGUGUUUUUAGCUUGGAAUUCUUCAGGGGUAAAGGAUUUUGAGUUUGGAAUUCUUCAGGGGUACAGUGUUUUUAGCUUGGAAUUCUUCAGGGGUACAGUGUUUUGAGCUUGAAUUCUUCAGGGGUAAAGUGUUUUGAGCUUGGAAUUCUUCAGGGGUAAAGUGUUUUGAGCUUGGAAUUCUUCAGGGGUAGGGUGUUUUGAGUUUGGAAUUCUUCAGGGGUAGAGUGUUUUGAGCUUGGAAUUCUUCAGGGGUAAAGAGGUUUGAGAUCGAAAUUUUUCAGAGUUUGGAAUUCUUCAGGGGUAAAGUGUUUUGAGUUUGGAAUUCUUCAGGGGUAGAGUGUUUUGAGUUUGGAAUUCUUCAUGGGUAGAGUGUUUUGAGUUUGGAAUUCUUCAGGGGUAAAGGAUUUUGAGCUUGGAAUUCUUCAGGGGUAAAGUGUUUUGAGUUUGGAAUUCUUCAGGGGUAGGGUGUUUUGAGUUUGGAAUUCUUCAUGGGUAGAGUGUUUUGAGUUUGGAAUUCUUCAGGGGUAAAGGAUUUUGAGCUUGGAAUUCUUCAGGGGUAAAGUGUUUUGAGUUUGGAAUUCUUCAGGGGUAGAGUGUUUUGAGUUUGGAAUUCUUUAGGGGUAAAGUGUUUUGAGUUUGGAAUUCUUCAGGGGUAGGGUGUUUUGAGCUUGGAAUUCUUCAGGGGUAGUGUGUUUUGAGCUUGGAAUUCUUCAGGGGUAGGGUGUUUUGAGUUUGGAAUUCUUCAGGGGUAGAGGAUUUUGAGUUUGGAAUUCUUCAGGGGUAGGGUGUUUUGAGUUUGGAAUUCUUCAGGGGUAGGGUGUUUUGAGUUUGGAAUUCUUCAGGGGUAGGGUGUUUUGAGUUUGGAAUUCUUCAGGGGUAGAGUGUUUUGAGCUUGGAAUUCUUCAGGGGUAAAGUGUUUUGAGCUUGGAAUUCUUCAGGGGUAAAGUGUUUUGAGUUUGGAAUUCUUCAGGGGUAGGGUGUUUUGAGUUUGGAAUUCUUCAUUGGUAGAGUGUUUUGAGUUUGGAAUUCUUCAGGGGUAAAGGAUUUUGAGCUUGGAAUUCUUCAGGGGUAAAGUGUUUUGAGUUUGGAAUUCUUCAGGGGUAGAGUGUUUUGAGUUUGGAAUUCUUCAGGGGUAGGGUGUUUUGAGUUUGGAAUUCUUCAGGGGUAGAGUGUUUUGAGCUUGGAAUUCUUCAGGGGUAAAGGAUUUUGAGCUUGGAAUUCUUCAGGGGUAAAGUGUUUUGAGUUUGGAAUUCUUCAGGGGUAGGGUGUUUUGAGUUUGGAAUUCUUCAUGGGUAGAGUGUUUUGAGUUUGGAAUUCUUCAGGGGUAAAGGAUUUUGAGCUUGGAAUUCUUCAGGGGUAGAGUGUUUUGAGUUUGGAAUUCUUCAGGGGUAGGGUGUUUUGAGCUUGGAAUUCUUCAGGGGUAGUGUGUUUUGAGCUUGGAAUUCUUCAGGGGUAGGGUGUUUUGAGUUUGGAAUUCUUCAGGGGUAAAGGAUUUUGAGUUUGGAAUUCUUCAGGGGUAGGGUGUUUUGAGUUUGGAAUUCUUCAGGGGUAAAGGAUUUUGAGCUUGGAAUUCUUCAGGGGUAAAGUGUUUUGAGUUUGGAAUUCUUCAGGCGUAGGGUGUUUUGAGUUUGGAAUUCUUCAGGGGUAAAGGAUUUUGAGCUUGGAAUUCUUCAGGGGUAAAGUGUUUUGAGUUUGGAAUUCUUCAGGGGUAGGGUGUUUUGAGUUUGGAAUUCUUCAUGGGUAGAGUGUUUUGAGUUUGGAAUUCUUCAGGGGUAAAGGAUUUUGAGCUUGGAAUUCUUCAGAGGUAAAGUGUUUUGAGUUUGGAAUUCUACAGGGGUAGGGUGUUUUGAGUUUGGAAUUCUUCAUGGGUAGAGUGUUUUGAGUUUGGAAUUCUUCAGGGGUAAAGGAUUUUGAGCUUGGAAUUCUUCAGUGGUAAAGUGUUUUGAGUUUGGAAUUCUUCAGGGGUAGAGUGUUUUGAGCUUGGAAUUCUUCAGGGGUAAAGGAUUUUGAGCUUGGAAUUCUUAAGGGGUAAAGUGUUUUGAGUUUGGAAUUCUUCAGGGGUAGGGUGUUUUGAGUUUGGAAUUCUUCAGGGGUAGAGUGUUUUGAGCUUGGAAUUCUUCAGGGGUAGGGUGUUUUGAGUUUGGAAUUCUUCAGGGGUAGAGUGUUUUGAGCUUGGAAUUCUUCAGGGGUAAAGAGGUUUGAGAUCGAAAUUUUUCAGAGUUUGGAAUUCUUCAGGGGUAGGGUGUUUUGAGUUUGGAAUUCUUCAGGGGUAGGGUGUUUUGAGCUUGGAAUUCUUCAGGGGUAGGGUGUUUUGAGUUUGGAAUUCUUCAGAGGUAGAGUGUUUUGAGCUUGGAAUUCUUCAGGGGUAAAGAGGUUUGAGAUCGAAAUUUUUCAGAGUUUGGAAUUCUUCAGGGGUAAAGUGUUUUGAGUUUGGAAUUCUUCAGGGGUAAAGUGUUUUGAGCUUGGAAUUCUUCAGGGGUAAAGGAUUUUGAGCUUGGAAUUCUUCAGGGGUAUAACUAUGAAAAACAUGUAUCCUCGACAGGGGGGGUACGGAUAUUAAAUGGAAUAGCCC
rnacentral:lncRNA from 1 species